ACCCUUAGUUGCUUAGAAUCUUUAAUAUAAGCUUCAAUAUCAGAUCUUUCUUCUUCCUCAGCUUGCAGUUUACGGAUCACCGAACGAGAAUCUCCUUCGAUCUCAGCCUCCCUCAGCCCGAGAUUUAACCCUAGAUUGAGUGCCUGAAGACACGCCAUCGCUUCUGCUGCAAAAACAGACGUUAUGUUCUCGUGCAUGACUGUUCUUGAACAAAUAACUUCUACUCUUUCGUUUUGAACUACUAACCCGGAGCAAGACUCAUUCUUUUGCCUGUUAAAUGCAGCAUCGAAGUUGAUUUUUACCAUCAACCCAUUCGGAGCUACCCAUCUCUCCGUAUGUAUCCUUCUCACUGGUAGAACACUCCCUAAACAAGUGUUCCCUCAUUUCUGCUCCAGUCUGACAUCUUCAACAAGUGGUGGAACCCAUCAUUCUUCUAAAGGGUAGAUUACUAAAAGUAAGCAAAUAGUUACUGGAAAACAUCUAGUUUGUAAUUUUAAUUUUUGGGGGUAGAUCUAAAUUCCACAAUUUCUUGUAAAAUUUUUCAUAAUUUAAUUGUUCUUGGUUCUAUCCAUCUUGUAAAAUAAAUUUAUGCCCUCUAUGGACCGAAUACUCCCCCGUCGGCUCACCACGCCAGAUGAUAUGGUCUUCAUGCAAAUUCAUGAACAAAAGAAUGCAUAAAAUCCUCUCUGCAUCCUUCUCCGUAAAGGAACCCAAGCAUCUUUCCAGAUAGAGACUUUCCUCCCAUCACCAAUCCUCCAGCCCAAACCCUUUAGAAAGAGCCCUUUUUGCAGUCCAUAAGCUCUGCCAGGUAAAAGAAGAGGCUUUCGGACAUCAACCUAGACUCGGACGCAUAGAUAAGUUCUGUAGCCGUUGGAUAACUGCUUCAUAUCAUAUUCAAGAUACUUGCCAAUGAAAUUUCCAAAUUGCACCGCCAUUGAAUCUCUGAAAAACCUCGGUGGCAAAUUAUGAAUCUGAACCCACCAAUUUGAGUACACUAAUGGAAUAAACAUCGGAUCUUCGUUCUCUUGAAUCCUAUGGAAGAUCAACAGAUGAUUAUUGAAAGUCCAAGGAGCACCUGUAAUUGCCCGAUUAAUAUCCAAUUCAUUAAAGAAUUUGAAUAGAAAAUGUUUUUCACCCAAAUCCGAAUUUGCACACCCUCCAAAAGGUGCCAAAUAUUCGCCAUCGUAUUUAUCACGGUUGGAAAAUGGA